rnacentral:rRNA from 1 species
AACGAACGCUGGCGGCAUGCCUAACACAUGCAAGUCGAACGAGAUCUUCGGGUCUAGUGGCGCACAGGUGCGUAACGCGUGGGAAUCUGCCCUUUGGUCCGGAAUAACAGUUGGAAACGACUGCUAAUACCGGAUGAUGACGAAAGUCCAAAGAUUUAUCGCCAGAGGAUGAGCCCGCGUAGGAUUAGCUAGUUGGUGUGGUAAAGGCGCACCAAGGCGACGAUCCUUAGCUGGUCUGUGAGGAUGAUCAGCCACACUGGGACUGAGACACGGCCCAGACUCCUACGGGAGGCAGCAGUGGGGAAUAUUGGACAAUGGGCGAAAGCCUGAUCCAGCAAUGCCGCGUGAGUGAUGAAGGCCUUAGGGUUGUAAAGCUCUUUUACCCGGGAUGAUAAUGACAGUACCGGGAGAAUAAGCUCCGGCUAACUCCGUGCCAGCCGCCGCCGUAA